AAAAUAACUCCGCCUGUAACUCUUACAGGGUUACUGCCGGUUCCAAGCCCGGGUAAAGGAGGAGGGUUGA
rnacentral:ribozyme from 1 species